UAAUACGUAGGUCACAAACGUUGUCCGGAUUUAUUGGGCGUAAAGGGUCCGUAGGCGGUUCGGUAAGUCUCCUGUGAAAUCUUCAGGCUCAACUUGAAGAGGUCGGGGGAUACUGCCGGACUUGAGACUGUUAGAGGCAAGUGGAAUUCCCGGUGUAGUGGUGAAAUGCGUAGAUAUCGGGAGGAACACCAGUGGCGAAAGCGGCUUGCUGGGACAGUUCUGACGCUGAGGGACGAAAGCGUGGGUAGCAAACCGGAUUAGAUACCCGGGUAGUCCACGCCGUAAACGAUGAAUGCUAGGUUUUCGGGGUAUCGACCCCCUGAGAGCCGUAGCUAACGCGAUAAGCAUUCCGCCUGGGGACUACGGUCGCAAGACUA
rnacentral:rRNA from 1 species